UACGUAGGUGGCAAGCGUUGUCCGGAUUUACUGGGCGUAAAGAGCGCGCAGGCGGCCUUCUAAGUCGAACGUGAAAUCCCCGGGCUCAACCCGGGAACUGCGUCCGAUACUGGAAGGCUUGAAUCCGGGAGAGGGAUGUGGAAUUCCAGGUGUAGCGGUGAAAUGCGUAGAUAUCUGGAGGAACACCGGUGGCGAAGGCGACAUCCUGGACCGGUAUUGACGCUGAGGCGCGAAAGCCAGGGGAGCAAACGGG
rnacentral:rRNA from 1 species